ACCCCCAUCGACAAGAUGAGCUCGGAAGUGGUGGACUCCAAUCCCUACAGCCGGCUGAUGGCAUUGAAGCGGAUGGGGAUUGUUGGUGACUAUGAGAAAAUUCGUACUUAAGCUGUAGCAAUAGUAGGUGUUAGCAGAGUUGUCAGUGUGACUGCCGAAAUACUGACAAGAUGUGGCAUUGGUAAGUUACUGCAUUUUGACUAUGACAAGGUGGAACUGGCCAACAUGAAUCGACUUUUCUUCCAGCCUCAUCAAGCCGCACUGAGUAAAGUUGAAGCCGCAGAACACACCUUGAGGAACAUUGACCCUGAUGUCGCAUUUGAAGUUCACAGCUACAAUAUCACCACCGUGGUGGAGCACUUUGAGCACUUAAUGAGCAGAAUAAGUAAUGGUGGCUUACAAGACGGAAAGCCUGUUGACCUAGCUCUUAGCUGUGUGGACAACUUUGACGCUCGGAUGGCCAUCAAUACAGCUUGUAAUGAACUGGGUCAGAGGUGGAUGGAAUCCGGGGUCAGUGAAAAUGCAGUUUCUGGGCACACCCAGCUCAUGAUCCCCGGAGAGUCGGCGUGUUUUGCGUGUGCGCCACCACUUGUAGUUGCUGCAAAUAUUGAUGAAAAGACCCCGAAACGAGAAGGUGUCUGCUCAGCCCGUCUCCCCACCGCCAUGGGUGUGGUUGCAGGGAUCUUGGUUCAAAACGUAUUGAAGUUUCUGUUAAAUUUUGGCGUUGUCAGUUUUUACCUUGAAUACAAUGCGACGCAGGAUUUUUUCCCUACCAUGUCCAUGAUGCCAAACCCUCAGUGUGAUGACAGAAACUGCAGGGAGCAACAAGAAGAAUAGAAAAGAAGGCGGCGGCCCUGCCCACACAGGAGGCUGGACCCAAGGAGGAGGAGGAGAUAGUCCAUGAAGACAAUGAGUGGGGUAUAGAGCUGGUGUCGGAAGUUUCAAGAAGCGGAACUGAAGAACUCUUCCGGUCCCAUUCCCACCUUACCUGAAGGAAUUACAGUGGGAUACACAGUCCCAAAGAAACAAGAGGGUUCUGUUGUUUCUGAGGUAACAGUGGAAGAUUCUGGUGAAAGCUUGGAAGAUCUCAUGGCCAAGAUGAAGACCAUGUAG